AGAUUGAACGCUGGCGGCAGGCCUAACACAUGCAAGUCGAGCGGUAGAGAGGUGCUUGCACCUCUUGAGAGCGGCGGACGGGUGAGUAAUGCCUAGGAAUCUGCCUAGUGGUGGGGGAUAACGUUCGGAAACGGACGCUAAUACCGCAUACGUCCUACGGGAGAAAGCGGGGGACCUUCGGGCCUCGCGCCAUUAGAUGAGCCUAGGUCGGAUUAGCUAGUUGGUGAGGUAAUGGCUCACCAAGGCGACGAUCCGUAACUGGUCUGAGAGGAUGAUCAGUCGCACUGGAACUGAGACACGGUCCAGACUCCUACGGGAGCAGCAGUGGGGGAAUAUUGGACAAUGGGCGAAAGCCUAGAUCCAGCCA
rnacentral:rRNA from 1 species